rnacentral:rRNA from 1 species
UACGUAGGGGCCUAGCGUUGUCCGGAUUUACUGGGCGUAAAGAGCUCGUAGGCGGCUUGGUAAGUCAGGUGUGAAAUCUCCACGCUCAACGUGGAGGGGCCACCCGAAACUGCCAUGGCUUGAGUCCGGUAGGGGAGUGUGGAAUUCCCGGUGUAGCGGUGAAAUGCGCAGAUAUCGGGAGGAACACCAGUGGCGAAGGCGACUACCUGGCCUGUUCUUGACGCUGAGGCGCGAAAGCUAGGGGAGCAAACAGG